CUAAGCGUGCUUUUCUGCACUCUCUCUCCACAUUCUUUUCAAUUUCAGAACAUGGUUUCCCUCUUUCUUUUCGAUUUUGGCAUGAAAAUUUCCCUCCCAAAAUAUUCUCCACUAAGAUCGUGGGAUGUUUAUCACGAUCUCAAUUACAAUUUCUCUUCUGAUAAACCUAUAUAUUCAGUUUCCACAGCAAAGUUAGCCCUAGGUUUAGGAAAAACGAAUCAGAGAAAUUGGUGAAAGCAACCCCUUUGGCAACAUCUUCUGGGAGCUGCGAACUAAGGAAUAUGAACUUCGAAAUAGUUGCUAUCGCAACCAUAUUCACUGAUGACACAAAGGGUAUUUGCCAUGGUUAUAAGUUAGAUUUAGAUCGCGAAACAAAAGUUAUUCUAAUCAAGAUUGUGAUGCCUAAUACACCAAUUUACAAGUCUGGAAAACAAGAUGGUGCUAAUAUAUUCGAGGAUGUGAUGGAAGGUGGAUACCUGGUGUGGCCAAAAUCGUUGAUUACAUACUGAUGUCGAUGUCAAGUGCUUCACUAAAGUUUAUGAAUUCUAAGUGGUUAAUUUCUUAGUUAUGUAGUUACCAUUAGGUUUUUCAGACUAAAAUGCACUUGAACCUUGUUUAAGCGUGUUAACAUUGACUUUCUUUAAGUUUGGUUAUUUAUGUUUCAUAGUUUUAUUUAUAAGACUUCUGUUGUUUAAGUAUAUAUGUUUUUCUAUAAUUAUUAUCUAUAUAAUUUGUUAUCUGUUAGUGGAAACACUUUUUAACUCCGUCAAUGCAAAUGCUUAUAUCAUUUCAUUGCCGGUCCCAAGCCCGGAUAAAGGAGGAGGAGGGAGGAGAUUAGUCAGGAAGGAUUCAAGUAAUUGUGGUUGAUGUUGGACCAUCCUCAAUAUCGUCACACGUAUAAGAGGUAAAGUUGGUUGGUUGCAAGUUUUCUUAAAUUUAUUUGUGUUGGUUCAAUUUAUUAGUUUUAGGGAGCCGUGUUUGUUCAAAGUACACGAGUAGGAAGAACUGUCUGUAGCAACCUAAGGCUAUUGGGGUGUCAAUCUUGUCCAGGUGUAACAAAUGCAUUAGGUAAUUCUUUAUUUCGAUUUUAAUUUGGAACUUUAUGAUUCCAGUGAUGUUUUUUUACAUUGUAGUUUCCUGGUGUAAAAUGCCUCAUUUCAAGUAAUAAUUCUCCUCUUGUGAAUAAUUUCAAAAUUAGUUGGUUCAAUAAAUCGAAAUUGCUUAACACUGUGCAUUUUGCAGAUGAUCCUUCAACAAAUGGAACUUGAGAUACAUUAUCUUUCAUUACAAAACAUCAACCUUAGAGUCCAAAGGCGACCUAUAAUCACUGCUCAAGAAAUCAGGUGAUUUUGAUAUUCCCUUAUGUUCUCAAGUUUGAAUACGGCUAUAGUCUGUACCAAUACUAUCUAUUCUAGGGUUUCUUCUGCAAAUACAAUAAUCUAGUUUAUGUGAAGAUGGAAAAACUAGAGAUCAUGAUUAAGCUUACUUCUGCUCUGCAUGUAGACCAGGUAAUGAAAUUUUUUAAAUAACGUAGUUUCUAUUUGAAGAAUUCGUUGUGCUGCUAUGGGUUUUUGAUACCUCUCGGCGUGUAUUCUCUUUUGAAGCUCUGUUGGAAUUCAAGGAAUAUGCCGCGAAAGUUGGCGUCGAUUUUGUCAGAAAAACUAUAUGUGAUACUAGUCAAUGUGUCAUCAAGUUAGAAAGAGCAGUUGAACGCUGUAUAAGUGUUUGCUUGAGAUCAUAACUAUGUCGUUCAUGAGGCUAUCAUUGUCAUCAAGGGUAUCUUUAGGCGAUAAUCUAACACCUAUGAAUCCGUUAUUUCAGCACUUCGUGAGACCGAAGAUAUGUUAGAUGAAAGCAAAGGUACCCACAUUCCUGAAGUUAACAUUAAAUGUCCAGAGUUAGGAGGCUAUCAUUGUCAUCAAGGGUAUCUUUAGGCGAUAAUCUAACACCUAUGAAUCCGUCAUUUCAGCACUUCGUGAGACCGAAGAUAUGUUAGAUGAAAGCAAAGGUUUCUUGGAGAAUUUUCUAGAAGAUCUUGCUCCGAGCAUUUUCAACUUCUCUGUUGCAGGUGGUCUUGAAUAAUGCUAAUGUGGAGACAGACACUCCAGAUCUACGUGAUUGAGCCUAUAAUUAUUGGGGUCUUCUAUCAACAGAACCUGAGGUACAAUCCUAGGGUCUUUUUACCCGUAGAAGAAACGAUCUUCAGACUAUAAAGCUGGUGGAUAAAGAGUAUUGGCAGGCUUCAGAAAACUAAGCGGACAAAACUUACAUGUUAGGGAGGAUGUACAAGUUGAAGCUACUCGCAAAUACCAUUAAAAAAUAUGGCGACUGAAGGAUACAUUGACAUAAUCCUAAUGAAUUUAGUUGUCUUCUUAUUUUUGUAAAGAACAAAACUAAUCUUUCUUUUUUUAAAAAAGCGCACAAGUGACGGAACAUUUUUGUUUUAUUUAAACGUGACUUACAAGAAAUAAAGUACAUUUUUGUUCCUUAUCUUGUAAUUGAUGUUUGAGAACU